GACGAACGCUGGCGGCGUGCCUAAUACAUGCAAGUAGAACGCUGAAGGAGGAGCUUGCUUCUCUGGAUGAGUUGCGAACGGGUGAGUAACGCGUAGGUAACCUGCCUGGUAGCGGGGGGUAACUAUUGGAAACGAUAGCUAAUACCGCAUAAUAGCAGUUGUUGCAUGACAACUGUUUGAAAGGUGCAAUUGCACCACUACCAGAUGGACCUGCGUUGUAUUAGCUAGUUGGUGGGGUAACGGCUCACCAAGGCGACGAUACAUAGCCGACCUGAGAGGGGGAUCGGCCACACUGGGACUGAGACACGGCCCAGACUCCUACGGGAGGAAGCAGUAGGGAAUCUUCGGCAAUGGACGGAAGUCUGGCCGAGCAACGCCGCGUGAGUGAAGAAGGUUUUCGGAUCGUAAAGCUCUGUUGUAAGAGAAGAACGAGUGUGAGAGUGGAAAGUUCACACUGUGACGGUAUCUUACCAGAAAGGGACGGCUAACUACGUG
rnacentral:rRNA from 1 species